GACGAACGCUGGCGGCGUGCUUAACACAUGCAAGUCGAGCGGUAAGGCCCUUUCGGGGGUACACGAGCGGCGAACGGGUGAGUAACACGUGGGUGACCUGCCCUCAGCUCUGGGAUAAGCCUGGGAAACCGGGUCUAAUACUGGAUAUGACUCCAUGACGCAUGUUGUGGGGUGGAAAGCCUUGUGCGGCUGAGGAUGGGCCCGCGGCCUAUCAGCUUGUUGGUGGGGUGANGGCCUACCAAGGCGACGACGGGUAGCCGGCCUGAGAGGGCGACCGGCCACACU
rnacentral:rRNA from 1 species